rnacentral:rRNA from 1 species
GACGAACGCUGGCGGCGCGCUUAACACAUGCAAGUCGAGCGAUGAAAUUUCGACAGAUCCCUUCGGGGUGAAGAUGAAAUGGAUUAGCGGCGGACGGGUGAGUAACACGUGAGUAACCUGCCUUUGACAUUGGGAUAGCCUCGGGAAACUGGGAUUAAUACCAAAUGACACUAACUGAUCACAUGAUCAAUUAGUCAAAGAAAUUCAGUCAAAGAUGGACUCGCGGCUGAUUAGCUAGUUGGUGAGGUAACGGCCCACCAAGGCGACGAUCAGUAGCCGGCCUGAGAGGGUGAUCGGCCACAUUGGAACUGAGACACGGUCCAAACUCCUACGGGAGGCAGCAGUGGGGAAUAUUGCACAAUGGGGGAAACCCUGAUGCAGCGACGCCGCGUGAGCGAAGAAGGCCUUCGGGUCGUAAAGCUCUUUUAUGAGGGAAGAUAAUGACGGUACCUCAAGAAAAAGCCCCGGCUAACUACGUG